AUUUCGUAUUGUGCCAAAUCCCCUAUUUGGCUCCAGAAUACUGGGAUACUAAUGAAAUAUAUACAGAAAAGUGUAAUAUAUUUAGCUUUGCCGUUAUUUUUUUGGAAGUAAAGCUUAGGAAAAGUCUCAAUUAUGGUGAUCUUUUAGAUUUGAUUAACAUGGAAACAAACGAGUCAGAUCGUAUAAUGCAAAUAAUAAAAAAGUGCUUAAAUCGAAAUCCACAAAAUAGACCUACUAUGAAACGAAUUGUGGCUUUUCUCGGAUGUGAUUAUAGGCUUUGCAUUAAUGUGGACCAUGCUGAUUUGGAAUUCAAGGAUUUGGUAUUUGUAAGCAACUACAGAUCUAACAAUCAAAAUAAUAUUUCAUAUUUACAGACUGACUGUACCUGUGAUACGGUUUGUUCAGCAUUGUGGAGACGUUCUGAAUAUAAUAGUUUAGUAAAACAUAAUUUUAUAAGUGAUUUUUUAACGACGAAGGUGGCACUAAAAGAAAUUGACUGCAAUACGAAAAUGAAAUGGGAAAUUCUGAGAGAAGUCCCCAAGCUUUUAGGUCUAGCUCAUGAGAAUAUUGCCACAUUAUACGGAGUUUCUUUAAAAUAUCAAAUUUACAUGGUUGUCGAGUAUGCAGAAUGUAGAACACUCUACCAUUUGCUUCAGAAUAUCAAUAUGAAUGUCUCAUUCCGGGAGAAGCUGGAUUGGAUGCAGCAAUGUGCGAAGGUAUGUUUAAAACACUUUGGAUAUUUUUGAUCUCACAUUUUUUUAAGGGCUUGGAAUAUUUGCAUGGAAAAAACAUAAUCCAUCGUGGCCUUACAACUCGAAGCUUGUUACUUUUCGAUAAUUAUCGUAUAUUAAAAGUGGGUGAUUUCGGAAAAGUGAAUGAAGUUGAAAAAAUUAGAACUGAUUUCAUGUGUUGCUAUUUGGCUCCAGAAGUUUGCAUGGGAAAAAAAAACUUUACAGAAAAGACGGAUGUUUUUAGCUUCGGUAUAAUUUUUUGGGAAGUGAUCAAACAAAAGAAACCACAUUGG